UUUGCUAAAAUAAAGCAUCAAUGGGGAUUGAAGAAGAGGAUGACAAAGUUGGAACCAACAAGUACCCUGAGAGGAUUCCCCUUGGAACAUCUGCUUCUGCAAUGCACGAUCGAGACUACGUGGAGCCACCACCAGCACCUCUGUAUGAGCAUGGUGAACUAGUCUCAUGGUCUUUUUAUAGGGCUGGCAUUGCAGAAUUUAUAGCCACUUUCUUGUUCUUGUAUGUUUCUGUUUUGACUGUUAUGGGAGUCUCGAAUGCACCUGAUAAAUGUGCUUCUGUGGGGAUUCAAGGCAUUGCAUGGGCUUUCGGGGGUAUGAUCUUUGCACUUGUCUACUGCACUGCUGGUAUUUCAGGUAAUGUCUUUAACAUCGGAUUUGACAUGUAAUUGUUGGUGUGUGCAUUUUUUUGUUCUUUAGAUUUCAUCCAAUUGAACAACUAGACAGAUAAAAAGAUAAUUAAAUUAAACAAAUGGGGGUGGGAGGACUCAAACCCGAGACCCCUGACUAAACCAAGCUCUGAAACGUUAAGUAACUAGUCCAUCUAAAAGUUUAAGGUAUUGGAGAAAGGCCCCAAACAAGGUCUAAUGACAUUAAAAUUUCUCAAAAAUGAAAGGUUUUCAGUCUUUGAAAAUUAAUUGAGGCCUUGUGUUGUUUAAUUGUAAUAAACAGGAGGACAUAUCAACCCUGCUGUGACCUUUGGUUUAUUUCUGGGAAGGAAGCUUUCGUUGACCAGGGCAUUGUUCUACAUAGUGAUGCAGUGCCUUGGUGCUAUCUGUGGUGCUGGUGUUAUAAAGGGCUUUCAAGGAUCCUCAAAAUUUGAGCUCAAUGGUGGGGGAGCUAAUGCUGUGAAUCAUGGCUACACAAAGGGUGAUGGUCUUGGUGCUGAGAUUGUUGGCACCUUUGUCCUUGUUUACACUGUGUUUUCCGCGACUGAUGCUAAGGGAAGUGCCAGAGACUCAACUGUCCCUGUAUGUGUUCUUGUUCAGAUUAAUCCUUGUUUUAAAUAAUAUUCCAGCCUUUUUUUAUUCGACUUAUGCUACAGAAAGUGAAUUGAAGGACUUCAGUAUAGACGUGCAAUUGUAGUCAGAUGUUUUUAUAUACAUUUCACAAAUUGCAGACAUAAUAUUUCAGUUAAAUGGAGCUUAUUUUGCAUUAGGCCGUGUCUUAUGAAAAUUAUUUGACAACUGUGCCUGCAGAUUUUGGCCCCUCUUCCCAUUGGCUUCGCGGUGUUCUGUGUUCAUUUAGCCACCAUCCCCAUUACAGGGACCGGAAUCAACCCUGCUAGAAGUCUUGGAGCUGCCAUAAUUUACAACAAAAGUCACGCUUGGGACGAUCAUGUGAGUUUUUUUUUCUGACAACAAUCAAACAAUCCAGGACUUAUGAAUAAUAUAUGCUGUACCGUAUUAAUAAAUUCUCUCUUGUAUCAGUGGAUUUUCUGGGUCGGGCCAUUCAUCGGUGCCUCACUUGCUGCUGCAUACCACCUGGUUGUCAUCAGGGCCUUUCCUUUCAAGAGCAAAUCUUAAAUUUCAGUCUGCAUGUACCAGAACUAUUUGUCAUCCCUUUUCGAUCUCAGUCUUUCAUUUUAGUCUAUUGUAAUUGUCACUGUCAUGUGAAUUCGUCGGUUUCAGCUAUUAAAGUAUCCAUGCACAUCAUUGUUUUAUGCUGUAUUUAAGCUUGAGUUUGCAUCUGAAGAAGAUAUUCUUUUUUUAUUGUUUGAUUCAUAAUAGCAACAUGUUUCACAUCUCCACAAAAUUAUAUAUACCUUAUUCUGGAGACAAGAUAUUAAUAAUCAGAUUUCGAGAUAAGAGUAACAUGUUCCAGAUCUCCAUAUCACAAUUUAUGCUGUCAUUACACAGUACAGAACUUUGGUUCAAUUAAGUAAAAUUUGGUUCAGAGCUUGAGGAAAUACAGAACUUAUAUUGAGGUACAUUACACAGUACUUGAAUUGAAAAAGAUUAGAUCAACUUAAUUUUUCUUUUUAAAUUUAUUAUAAUGGCAAUCAAGCAGGCUAUAAUGGUGACAAUCUGUGAUGAUAAACACAACACAUAAAGAAUAAAGUAUAAACAAACUUAUCGUAGAGCCUGUCGCAGACCACCAUUGAGCCACUCCCUCCAAAAAACCAAUGAUUUAUUUCCAUUUUAAAUAAUUUAAUGAUCUGGCUUAAACUCAAUUUUUACCUAUAAAUUAGGAUGUUUCAAGCCUUCUCUGUUAUAACCACUCACAAAACUUCCUCUGUUAAGUUUUGCGUAAAAACAACAAUGGAAGGUAGAGAAGAGGAUGUGAAAGUGGGAGCUAACAAGUACUCAGAGAGGCAACCACUAGGUACAUCUGCACAAACAGAUAAGGACUAUAAGGAGCCACCACCAGCACCUUUGUUUGAGCCUGGUGAACUCACUUCAUGGUCUUUCUAUCGGGCUGGCAUUGCGGAGUUUAUAGCCACUUUCUUGUUUUUGUAUGUCACCGUUUUGACUGUUAUGGGUGUUUCCAAUGCACCUAAUAAAUGUGCUUCUGUGGGUAUUCAAGG
rnacentral:lncRNA from 1 species